CUGGAUGGCUCGGGACCCAAGUGGAGCGCCCUGCACUUGGCCUUCUUGAACCUCAUUAGGUCUUCAUGGGCAUGAAUCCACUCCAGUUCUGAGCAAAGGCUGUUCUCACAAUACAGAAAGGCUGUUCUCAUGAUUCAGGAGACAGCUAGAGCUGGGGAAUGGAUGCAUGGCACCUUAAAUCUGACCAGGAAGAAAAUUAGGAGAAAGGAAUGCAGACAAUGCCAACAAAUUUAAGGGGGUUAAGGAAUCAGCCCCACUGCUGCAAGCAUGGUCAAGACUUUAUUCUCCCACUUGAUGGUCAGGGUGAGGAACUUCACUUGCCUGGAGAGUCAUCAAACAAAGCUGCUGAAUACUUUGCUGGGCUCCACAGUGGGCCAGAGCUCCACCAGGACUGAGACUUGCUGCCCAUCACUGAGGAUCACAACUCAGAACUUCUCCAUAGGCACUGACGAGCAGUGCAGAGAGCAAGGAAGCCAAGGCAGCGUUGCAGUCAUCCUCCAAAAGUCAGGUCCUGCCAAUCACGAAACAUAUGUUUGAAUGCUGGUCCAAAUAUUUGGAAGAGAUAUGAGUGAGAUGGGAAGAAGCAGAUUUCUUUGCAGGUGUCACUGCUGGAGCUCUGGGCUCUCCAGCUGCCUGGGCUGGUGGGAAAGGGGUAUGUGUGGCUGGGGGGAAUCCUCUUUACUUGUUUCUUUGUUUUUGUAAUGAUAAAAGGAGGGAAAACAAAUGGAAUCAAGCAAGUAUUUCUGCAAGGUUGGAUCAAACGCAUCCUAACGUCACUGGGAAGAAAAGGGGAUUUAAGAAGAAGACAGACUGGUAAUGGGGUUAUUUGAAGUAAAAUAACGGAGAAGUGAAGAUGACUCUUGUGCAGCCAAAUAAAAUAAAAACCAGUAAAGACCAAUAUGGCCUCAUCGUGGUCAAUGGAGUCCCAGGAAACUAGUAAGAACCAAUAGGAAUGCACAUCUGCAUGCCCCAGGCCAGUGCUGGCCUCUGACUGUGGCUUUAGGCCCCGGGGCCAAUGUUGGCCUCCUGGGCUGUGGCUUCGUGCCCCAGGGCCAGUGCCAGCCUUAUGGGCUGGGGCUGGGGCUUUAGGCCCUUGGGCCGGUGCCGACCUCACUGUCUGGGGCUCAGGCCCCAGGGCUGGUGUAGGCCUCUCGAGCUGGGAGAAGUUCCUGUGGAAAGAGCCCUCAGAACUUUGGCUUCCUCUGUGACUUCAGCGGUCAUGUCUCAGCCAGGAGAUGACUGCUAUUCCUCUUUCUGCUCUGUAAGUGGAAAGAAGCAGCACAGCGCGGUUCCCCGUGUUUGGGAACAGCAACCAGCAGGCUGCCAGAGAUCCAACAGUGCCUUACAGCGCACAGAGGGACGCGAUGCGGACGGAUCGUCCUUACUGCCAUACAAAAGGAUGGAGCCUGUGUGUUCAUUGAACAGUGCUGUGCGUGCGGGAAAACGGAAAGCCUCUGCAGGUAAGAAGCUCUUGUGAGCUGUGGUGUGGGUACCUGCCUCUAAACAAGGCUGCAUGAAGGGUGGUGUGUGUAAUGGAGGAGAGAGGAAAGGACAUGGCAGAUUUGUGCUGACUGUGGAAAUGACACACCGUUGUAGCAGCAGAAAGGCAAACUGAGGAAACUGCUCUUGAAGAGGAGAAUUUUGUGGUUGGCUGUGCUAAAAUCUUCCACCAAAGAGAUGCUCUUCAUGUCUUUCUUGUUUCCUUUCUGUCAGAAGCUGAUGCAAGCGGCCUUUCAGCAAAGUGUAGCUUUGCAGAAAGCCAGGGCAGAAGCACAGAGUGUGACAUUGCAUCAAAGAGAGGUACAGACACACAACAGGCAUCUGGGUUUGGUGCACUGUCUUUCUAGUUAGGCUUUCUGUCUGUUUUUUCCUGGACUGUUGUUGUGUGUUGCUUGGGGUCUUAAUCCCUGGGAUUUACCGUUACCUUUCCUGUCCUGAUUUGUAAUGUGAACUCAAUGUUCAGCCAAGAUCCUAAGGUCCCUUACUGUGAACACAACAUGGGAGAGCUGGCAUUGACCCUUUGGGAUUUUCUUGCUUUUCCCACCAGUAACGAGCAGCUCGGAUGUGCUGGACGACAUCAUGGACAUUCUGGGUCUGCUGUCUUGGAUUAAUGGUGAUUUUGAAGGCUCCAGAGCCCUCUAGUGUGCAUCUGCACAGAGUGGAUGUGGGAAGGCUGUCAUUGCCAUUUUGGGGGAUGUUCUUGCUUUUUCAGAUGUGGCAAGAGCUGUCGAGGUUCCCCAUGAGAACCACAGCAGCCCUGCCCCAGAAUGCUUCAUCGCUGGGCUCCCUGUCAUCCCCCAGGACAGCAGAGAGCUCAGCACAGAGGCACAGGCUGCCACCAGGACCCCCACUGACCCCUUCUGGGGGUUUCCACCAUCCCCUGGGCUCCUGUCUGAGCUGGUUGUCUCAGUGGCACCCUGUCAUUCCACGUGGGAGUGCACGGCUCAGCCGUCUGCCGACCACCCUGUCUGUAACCACACCUCCCUCAGCCCAAACCACACAGCUCAUUGAGGAGGUGCAGAAAAGGCAGCCCCAGGGGGCUCAGGUUCACUCGCCACCAUCACUGGGCUCUGUCCUCUGCUAGGUGGCAGAAAAGAACAGGGGCGGCAGGAAGUGGGCCAAGCGCCCUGUGCCUGCUGGCACUCCCCAAAAAGGGGAGAGCUCCCAACAGGAGCAGCCCACCAGCAGCGCCCCAGCCAAGAAAAGGAAGCUGCUGCCAUGCAAGAAAAGAAAAGAAAGAAAAGGCUGCAGACACCUGCGCCAAGAGAAGCUGUCUGGGGCCAGCACAGGAGCCAGCAGCAGCGGGCAAGCAGGCACUGCUAGCAAGAUGCACAUGCACUUAUGUGAAUCCAUCCAGGCUGCGCAACCGCUGGGGCAGAGGGUGACUACGGUGGGGCCAGUGCGCCAGCCAAGCUCUUUGCAGCCCCAGCCCACACCCAGCAAUGGGCCAGCUUCCCCCCAGCCCCAAGCUGGCAGCACAGACAAGGCAGCGCCGGCACCUCCAGGCAGGAUGGCGCAAGAGGAGGACGCUGCCAAGAAGAUGGCACUGAGCUGCCUGUGCCCGUCCAUGCUGAAGUGCUCACUGCUGUGGAGGGACCCACUGUCAAAGCUGCAACAGCAGCAGCCUCGACCGCAGACCCAAUGCAGUUCGUGCCCUGCGUGGGGCCAUGGGCGAGCGGUGGUGCAGCACCCAUAGUGAUCGAGGAAUCACUGCCCAUCACACCUGAGCAGCAGCCCGAGCGAGAGUGCAUGAAGAAGCUGGCCCAGGAGGAGCGGCAGCGGGCAGCCCGGCAGAUGAAGAUCGGCCCCGUGCAGUUCCUGUUGCAGCGGGAGACAGACAUGGCCAUAGCUGACCAGUACGGCUACGUGUAACCUGUGCUCCUCGCCAGCCCUGCAGCACCAGACAUCAGCAGCAACGUUCCAGGGGCUCCACCAGUAGCCCCAUCAUUCCCAUCCAGAACUGAGCCAUCCUCCAAAGUCAUCAUUGCAGUGGAUGGGACAUUAUCUGGGCACUGAACUUGUUGUGGGAUGGGAAUUUUGUGGAUAUUGUCAUUUCUUUUACUCGUUGUUUGCUAUGCUAUGUUAUUAAAUGCUUUCUGUUCCCUUUGCUACACCUCUGCCUGCAGUCAUUGUGCUGUGUCACAGCCCCUCAGCUCCUUUUGGCAGGAUAGGGCACCACAGAUGGCCGUGUCCCUCAGCUGCCACCACCAGCCCCAACCUUCCUCUCUCUCUGCCAUGCUUUGCACAGUAGGAUGCAGAGAGGGGUUUCAUACAGCUUGCCUGCACUGCCUGUGCCAGUACCAUGAAUUGCUGUGGGGAUGGGCACCAGGCAGGGCAUGGGCUGAUGGAGGUGGAAUCGCCUUGGGUCACUGUGGCCAGAAGAGGCUCAGGGAACAGUGGCAGCAGGGGAAGUUCCCAUGGAGUGGGGAGAAAUCAAUGCGGCCCCGGCAGCAGACAAGCUCAGCCUCAUCCUGCUCUGGGUUACGGUGAAGUGUUACCGUUUGGUGUGAUUGGUGAGUGCUCAGUUACCCUCUUGGGUUAGGCUUUAGGCUUAAGGCUUCCCAGAUUGGGUUAUGCUUAAGGGUUACGUGUCAAGCGUUAUGCGUUCGGGUCAGGUUUAAAAGUUACCCUUUUGGGUGAGGGCGAAGCGUUAAGGUGAAUGGUUUUGGGUUUGUAUUACCAGUUUCUCUCUGGGGUUAGGCUUAAGUGUUAUCAGUUUGGGUUAAGGGUUAUGGCGUUACGGAAGGGUAAAGGGUUACCAUAUUGUAUAAGGGGUAAGAGUUAUGGGUUCCCAUUUUUGGUUUGGUUUAAUGGUUGCCCUUUUGGAUUUGGAUUAGGGUUUAGGAUUCAGGGAUAUCCUUUUGCAUUAGUCUCAAGAUUUACCUUUUUUGGACAUUGCUAGUGGUUACCAUUUUGUGUUAGCGAUAAGUGUGAAGGGUCACACAUUUAUGUUAUGUAUUAGAGUUAUCACAUUCACAGAAAUUCAUAGGAAUAUACGUAGGAAAAAAAAUUACGGAAAGAAAGAAACUGCAAAGAAGAAAUCAACAAAAGUAGA